CAAUAGCGUAUAUUAAAGUUGUUGCAGUUAAAAAGCUCGUAGUUGGAUUUCUGCCAGGGUGCCAAUGUCCGCCGAAGUGCGUGCGCAGCGGCGCCCUCGCAUCCUUCUGUUAACGCCUCUCGGCAUUUACUUGCCGGUGGUGGGCUCAGAUAAUUUACCUUGAGAAAAUUAGAGUGUUUCAGGCAGGCUAGGCCGGAAUACAUUAGCAUGGAAUAAUGGAAUAGGACUACGGUCUCGUUGUUGGUUUGAGGGACUGGAGUAAUGAUUAAUAGGGAUAGUUGGGGGCAUUAGUAUUUAAUUGUCAGAGGUGAAAUUCUUGAUUGUUAAGUAACGGACUAACUGCGAAAGACAUUUGUCCAACGGAAGUGUUUUCUAUUGUAUCAAGAACGAAAGUUAAGGGG
rnacentral:rRNA from 1 species